AUGAAACAGAAGGAGUUGCUGCACAAUAUAGCUUCACGAUCUUAUAUUUUGAGGGAAACGAAGCCGAACGCAUUGGUAACUGUGCUCAAGAAGAUACAAUCGCGGGAGCCCUCAGGGUGGCGCGCGGCGGAGAGGCGACGCGGGUGGCGCUGCAGAGGCGUCCCCACCCCCUCCGGGGACGGGGGCUCGGGAGCUACCAGGCCCGCUGCAAGCGGCGACGCGGGAGAAACCACGGGGCAGCAGCGCCCCCUGCAGCUGCCGGGCGCCUCCGCAGCUGCCGCGCAGACCCGAUUCUUAAGGUGGCACCGCCGGGUUCCCAGCCGGCGCGCGCCGCUGUCGGGGUUCUCUGCCCGCAGCCGCGGCUCCAUCCGCUGCAGGUCUCUAGCAGCGGGCCUGACCGUCCAGAACGGCCGGAGUGUGCAGAACCCUGCAGCUAUUUGCUUGAUCCCUUGGCCCUAGUACCUGCAGGACCUCUUCGGGGGAUGCCCCUCUAGAGAUUUCGACGGGCUAGAUUGAAAAUUUCCUGCGAGUAUAGGAGGAUGCGUAAGUCCCGCUUCAGGGAGGAACGACAAGAAUGGCGUUUCUUUAAGCCUAAAUCAAACGUUUAUUUUCGGUUAUAAAACGCAGAAGUCCAGCAGGAAAGGGUCGCGGAGGGUUGGCACGUCCACAUCCGUUGUUCUCUUGGAUCCAAGUUUUUAUGGUGAGACUGGGCGGUCCCGCCGGGAUUGCCUUAGGCGCUCACACCCCGAAAAUCGUAGCAGGUGCGGUGCUAGAAGCUUGGGGCAGCGGCGGACCCGCAGGGUAACCUCGCCUCGCGCACCUCCCUAGCCCCCAGCUGCAGCGCACUCCCGUCGACAUGCUUUAUUUGAUGAUACCAAGGAAGUUGGAGAAGAUCGAAGUGCAAUUUUUCUUUUUUUUCUUAAUUUUUUUUUUUUCCUAACUAAAUGGUAUGUGUAUGUGAACACAGCAUCUCUUGGAAAUAAGUGUCCUCAGAGAACUCCAGAUUCCUAGGGGAAACCUACGUGCCCUGAGCAGGAAACGCUCAAGCCAACCCAGGUUCCUGUGCCAUCCUCAGUAAAUUCCCUUCCUUUUGCUCUAAAUUCCUCCUCUGAGUCCAGGAGAGGGACGGCCGGGAGCUGUGGAGCAGAGGGCGGGUGCGAGGGCGCAGGUGAAGGGAGGAGUGCUGUGGGCCCGGGACGCGCAGUUUCCAGGCACCGUGGGAACCUCCCUCCCCAGGGGCGCAGGGCCUUGGCUCCGCCCUGCCAGGCCUGGGGCCGAGCGGCCCACCUAGCGGGUCCUGCACUCGGGAAGCCGAGUCUGCGCGCGGGUGGGGCCGCCGCGAGGGAAGCUAGCCUGGGCAAGUGCCGCGCGGGGUCAGACCCACCCCAGGGGUUGCAAACCGCAAGCGAAAGUCGAGAGGGGCUGGAGUUUUCCCUCUAAUCCGUUUUACACUGUGAAAACCGCAGGCCUGUCACCUAGGCGGCCACUUUUAAAUUGGGAGGCAAAUAGACGAAAAACCAAACAAAUGCACGAGCAGACUUUUUCCAGCUAAGUUUUUCCUCAAUAAAAAGCUGGCUUUCUUGAAAAGAGGGAAGCUGA